rnacentral:rRNA from 1 species
CCUACGGGUGGCAGCAGUGAGGAAUAUUGGUCAAUGGACGGAAGUCUGAACCAGCCAAGCCGCGUGCAGGAAGACGGCUCUAUGAGUUGUAAACUUCUUUUGUACAAGGGUAAAGCUGGAUACGUGUAUUCAGCUGAAAGUACUUUACGAAUAAGGAUCGGCUAACUCCGUGCCAGCAGCCGCGGUAAUACGGAGGAUCCAAGCGUUAUCCGGAUUUAUUGGGUUUAAAGGGUGCGUAGGCGGUUUGUUAAGUUAGAGGUGAAAUGUCCGGGCUUAACUCGGGAACUGCCUUUAAUACUGUCAGUCUUGAGAGUAGGUGAGGUAGGCGGAAUGUGUGGUGUAGCGGUGAAAUGCUUAGAGAUCAUGCAGAACUCCGAUUGCGAAGGCAGCUUACCAAUCU